rnacentral:rRNA from 1 species
AGACGUCUACAUUAGAUACCCGCGUAGUCCCAGCCGUAAACUAUGCGCGUUAGGUGUAUCGGUGACCACGGGUCACCGAGGUGCCGAAGGGAAACCGUGAAACGUGCCGCCUGGGAAGUACGGUCGCAAGGCUGAAACUUAAAGGAAUUGGCGGGGAGCACCACAACGGGUGGAGCCUGCGGUUUAAUUGGACUCAACGCCGGGAAGCUCACCGGAUAAGACAGCGGAAUGAUUGCCGGGCUGAAGACUCUGCAUGACUAGCUG